CGCCAGAUAGCUCAGUUGGUAGAGCACCUGACUAGAGAUUUAGGGGGCCCGGGUUCGAAACCCGGUCUGGUCC
rfam:Crassostrea gigas strain 05x7-T-G4-1.051#20 contig4750, whole genome shotgun sequence.